UACGUGUGAGGCAAGCGUUAUUCGUCUUUAAUGGGUCUAAAGGGUACGUAGGCGGUAUAUAUAAUCUUAUUAUUAAUCACCUUAGAGUGGGUUUGCAUAUUUAUAUACUAGAGUUAUAAAAGGAGUAACAAACACGACAAGAGGAGUGUGACGAUACUAAUAUACUUGAAAGGUUGCGUAGCGGCGAAAGCGUGUUACUAUAGAAAACUGACGCUAAGGUACGAAGGCAUAGGUAUCGAUCGGG
rnacentral:rRNA from 1 species